rnacentral:lncRNA from 1 species
UAUCAGAUCUUCUACACUCUUCGAAUGGAGAAACAAAAAUCUUAAUGCGACAACUGGGUUUCUAGUGGGUGCUACGAUCCCAUCGAUGCCGUGCACCUUACCUAAUAAUUAUUGAUAACAUGAAUAAACACUGAUGCGUAGACAACUCUUUGCCUAGAUGCUUCUCUAAGUUUGUUGUAGCGACUUGGUCUCUAAGUCAUAUCGACUCACCUAAUAGUUAUUGCCCAUACUUCUUAGUUAAGUCAGUUCCACCAUUCACAAGCAAGUGCAAAGCCAUCAUUCGGUCCCUCACCUAACAGUUAUUGGGCCCAAUCCCAUCUUUACCCUGG